AUCCUUCUGUAGUUCAUCGGCGUGAGGACUAGGUGUUCAUGCGCAUGCGUGAGAUUUGCCACUCGCAAAUCUUGUUAUGACGUCAGCACAUUGCUUGUCUGACA
ensembl:snoRNA